CUCAGAACCUCUGUCCACCCAGCCCUGACAGCAGCCCUUGGGGCCUUCACUCCUGGAGGAGGAGGCAGUACCACGACGUGCCCCAUGUUUCUUCCCUCAGCGCCCUCAGCCUCAUAGAUGCCGGGGUAGAGCAGUUCACCUGAGCUACACAUUUUCAACCCCAGAGGAUUCAGCAAGGAACUUCCCCUGAUUCUUCUUAAUUACCAGCAGUGAAGACAUUCAAGACGCCGGAGAGCAGAGGUCAAACCCCACCUGUUUUCCUUGCACUUCAUUUUCU
rnacentral:lncRNA from 1 species